rnacentral:lncRNA from 7 species
GAGAUGCAUGUACCAGUCGUUGGGACUACCAUGGAUGGACAGAGCUUGUCGUUGCUUCUCAGUUCUCAGCAAUGAUGCCGCCCGCAAGUGCAUCGGACUCCACUACGGCACGUGCUGACGGACGGGAUGCUCCUCCUUCUCGCAAGUCCACUCCGCCGUCGAGAUAAUUGUCUGCAUCCCCGUCCAUCUACCAUUGGAGGAAACUCCCGCCGUCGGGCACCAUCUCCUGUGAUCUCUGGUUGUCGCGGCAAGCCGAUGCAGGCCCCCUUGGUGGAUUCAUCACGGUGAGAGGACGAUGAAUCUCUGGCUGACCUCUAACAACGACGGC